GAGUUAAGAGUUCUCAAGGUGGCU
rnacentral:piRNA from 1 species